UACAGAGGUCUCGAGCGUUAGGCGGAAUCACUGGGCUUAAAGCGUGUGUAGGUGGAUCGUUAAGUACCUUGUGAAAUCCCACGGCUUAACCGUGGAACUGCUUGGUAUACUGGCGGUCUUGAGUCAGCUAGGGGCUACCGGAACAAAUGGUGGAGCGGUGAAAUGCGUAGAUAUCAGGAAGAACACCCGUGGCUAAGGCGGCUCUCUAGUACGGUACUGACGCUGAGACGCGAAAGCGUGGGGAGCGAACAGG
rnacentral:rRNA from 1 species